rnacentral:rRNA from 1 species
UACGUAGGGUGCGAGCGUUAAUCGGAAUUACUGGGCGUAGAGCGUGCGCAGGCGGUUCGCCAAGUCAGGUGUGAAAUCCCCGGGCUUAACCUGGGAAUUGCGCUUGAAACUAGCGGGCUUGAGUGUGGCAGAGGGGGGUGGAAUUCCACGUGUAGCAGUGAAAUGCGUAGAGAUGUGGAGGAACACCGAUGGCGAAGGCAGCCCCCUGGGUCAACACUGACGCUCAUGCACGAAAGCGUGGGGAGCAAACAGG